rnacentral:rRNA from 1 species
CCGCAAUGGGCGAAAGCCUGACGGAGCAACGCCGCGUGAGGGAUGAAGGCCUCUGGGCUGUAAACCUCUUUUAUCAAGGAAGAAGAUCUGACGGUACUUGAUGAAUAAGCCACGGCUAAUUCCGUGCCAGCAGCCGCGGUAAUACGGGAGUGGCAAGCGUUAUCCGGAAUUAUUGGGCGUAAAGCGUCCGCAGGCGGCCCUACAAGUCUGCUGUUAAAAAGUGGAGCUUAACUCCAUCAUGGCAGUGGAAACUGAUGGGCUCGAGUGUGGUAGGGGCAGAGGGAAUUCCCGGUGUAGCGGUGAAAUGCGUAGAUAUCGGGAAGAACACCAGUGGCGAAGGCGCUCUGCUGGGCCAUCACUGACGCUCAUGGACGAAAGCCAGGGGAGCGAAAGGGAUUAGAUACCCCUGUAGUCCUGGCCGUACUCGAUGAACACUAGGUGUCGGGAGAAUCGACCCCUCCGUGUCGUAGCCAGCGUCGUAAUGUU